UACGGGGGGGGCAAGCGUUGUUCGGAAUUACUGGGCGUAAAGGGCUCGUAGGCGGCCAACUAAGUCAGACGUGAAACCCCUCGGCUUAACCGGGGAACUGCGUCUGAUACUGGAUGGCUUGAGGUUGGUAGAGGGAUGCGGAAUUCCAGGUGUAGCGGUGAAAUGCGUAGAUAUCUGGAGGAACACCGGUGGCGAAGGCGGCAUCCUGGACCAAUUCUGACGCUGAGGAGCGAAAGCCAGGGGAGCAAACGGG
rnacentral:rRNA from 1 species